CCGCAAAGAUCCAUAAAGCUCGUAGGCCCGCGCUACCGUGACUCAUUUUUUCUUUAACGCAUAGAUCCAUGGAAUGGGCGGCUCCCACGCUAGCUUAUUAUUAACAAGUUUCUCGGUUUCCGAUCUUUUUAAAAUCUCUAAAGUUUCCGGUAUAGUUGGGUGCUCUUGCUUUUUUAACGGCCUAACACAAUCAACUUCAUUCCAUUUGAUGGUGACAUUGCCUUCGUACGCUCGACAUGCUAAGGCUGUACUUAGGUUAGCUUCCCUGAUAUCUCUCCUGUGCUCGUCCAUGCGUCUCUCUAUGGUCCUCGUCGUAACACCUAUGUACGCUAACUCCUC
rnacentral:lncRNA from 1 species